GUUGUUUGAAUAGCGAGUACCAAUAGAGGCUAGCCGAGUGCUGCUCCUGGACAAACAAUUUAUGAAGCAGAUGAAAAUGAAUAUGUAUGCUCAUCUUUAUUAUUUUGAAUCUAUUGCUUUCCAAAAAUUACAGAUGCAUAUGCUGCUAUCUUUUUAUCAUCUGAAUCACAUCUUCUUUGCAUCACUUGUGACUAUUCUUCUUCAGUCAAUUACUAUUUCAGAGAAUGGGCUCUCUAUGCCUACUGGUGCAAAAUAAUAUCUUGAACUGCACAUUACCGUUCACUAACUAAUAAUAUUUCCUGGCCUUCCCUUCCCUUGUUCCUUGAUUCCUUCUAGCAUAUGUACUGUUUAUACUAGCCACUAAUUUUCCUUUUUAGUUUUAUUUUGGUACAUUCCUCGUGCACCUGCGAAGCCGCCUAAUGCGGAUUGCUGUUAUGUAUCCCUUUCCUCCCUUUCCCCCUGUAAGAUCUGUUCUUCUUUGCCCGAUUGGCUCACUAGCUGAUUGGACAAAUAUUUUGUUUAUCCUUGGCCAAAUUGCUGUUUAUAUGUGACUUAGGUGCAUAGUGUCAUAUGUCAUCCAAGCUGAUUGGACUUAUUAUGUGUAUUCUUGUCCAUAUUGCAGUCUUUAUUAGACUUAGGUAUGGUGUCAUGACAUAGUCAUAAAUUUAUUCUCAGUCUGCAUAUGAUAGCACAAUAGAUAUGCUUUUGCCUUUAAUUUGUAGCCUCCUAUCCAUGAAAGUUCUGUAGACCAAGAAAAAUGCAAAGAAUGUUCUUUGUAUAAUUUGAAAAAAAUUACACAAGGAUGUGACAUAAAAAAAUAUUGCACCUUUUUAUACAAAGAGAAUAAUUAUCUACUAUAUUGUUUUCUGGUUGCACUUGGAAAAUGAAUUAUAUAACCUCUAUGCUGACCCCUAUAUAUUUUGUCUGCGACAUUGUUGUUUAAAAAAAUGAGUCGAACGGGGGAGGCCCCCUGUGGAAUUUAUUUGAGCUUAAAGCGACCAGGAUGAGAUGCCCGAAUUCUGCUCUUGACUGGAGUCAAGACCUGGUCAGCAGGGAUGCACCACUGCGGCAUUCUUGUGGCAUUGGUAAUUGCUCAAGUGAAAAGAUUUCGGAGAAUGAAAUGAAUGGAGCCACAUAUGGAGGAUUAAAUUGUCCCCAUUUGUUUAGAAUAUGUUGUUUAUGUUUUGGUUGUCUGAAAAUAUGCCUGGCCAGGGCCAGUGAAGAUAUUGUUUUCUGGGAAAACCCAGCAGGUGCACUGCCUUUUCGUUAAGGAAAUGUAACAAGAUAUGUACAAAGAGUGGGCCAGCGAAGAUUUCAAGUGUGUAUAUAUUGAUCAGCACUCCAUAUUUGAGCUCCUUUUUAUGCCAUCUGGGGUAGGUACGAUGUGGUCUUAAAAUGGGUACUUUCUUUUAUGGACUGCGUUCAACAACCGGACCCAUCAAAUUGAUGUAUGAGAAUUCUGUUUUGGGGAUUUUAUGCACCAUAUGCGAUCUUGUGCAACAAAAGGAGAUUUGGCUUGGAUAUACAUUCAUUAGAACCAAUACUUACUACUUUUUCUUCUGUUCAUUCAGUCAAUGAUAUGGACUGUAUAAGAUGUACACAUGACAGCUAGGGAUUGCUAGAUCAUUGCUGUAGCAGGUUGCUGCUGAUCACCCUUUGUAACAGUUAGUACCAUAUCACUCGAAUUUGGGCGAUUUGCCCACCAAAAAGAAAUAAAAACAGUUCAUUACUGUCA